GAUGAACGCUGGCGGCGUGCUUAACACAUGCAAGUCGAACGGAAAGGCCCAAGCUUGCUUGGGUACUCGAGUGGCGAACGGGUGAGUAACACGUGGGUGAUCUGCCCUGCACUUCGGGAUAAGCCUGGGAAACUGGGUCUAAUACCGGAUAGGACGAUGGUUUGGAUGCCAUUGUGGAAAGUUUUUUCGGUGUGGGAUGAGCUCGCGGCCUAUCAGCUUGUUGGUGGGGUAAUGGCCUACCAAGGCGUCGACGGGUAGCCGGCCUGAGAGGGUGUACGGCCACAUUGGGACUGAGAUACGGCCCAGACCCCUACGGGAGGCAGCAGUGGGGAAUAUUGCACAAUGGGCGCAGGCCUGAUGCAGCGACGCCGCGUGGGGGAUGACGGCCUUCGGGUUGUAAACUCCUUUCGCUAGGGACGAAGCGUUUUUGUGACGGUACCUGGAGAAGAAGCACCGGCUAACUACGUG
rnacentral:rRNA from 1 species